rnacentral:lncRNA from 1 species
AAGGCAUUCCUAGUCCUAGAUCAUGACAAGUUUACAGACUUUGAACUCCACAUUAAAUCAUAAAACUUGAAAACAUAUAACCAUUGUAAAAUGCCCACAUUUGCUCCAUGUAAACUGCACCUCCAAAACCAACCACGUAAAACCAUUCUCCUGCACCUUGGACUACAUAAUCACGUUUUCUUCCAAACACCAACUGAGUUUACUCCAAUUACUUCUCUUAUGCACAUGACUUGCUGCUUUUACCACUUUUGCAGCUGCAGGCAUGCCGUAGUAUCCAAUCACCACACAACACAUCUGAUAAUUAACUACAAAGAAAUUCCACCAAUCAAGAAUUCACAACCAAGCUUAGAUACAUAUCGUCUUAAAAUCAUGAGAUUCUUAACAAUAAGCUUGCCUACUUGUAUCAUCUUAAAAUCAAGAGACAACUCCACUUUCGCUACAUACACUUCUUAUUGCUUUUGAUUAAAAAAACUUGUUCUAGUCAAUGUCUUGGGUGUAGCAUAAGCAACUUCUAGAAAAUAAAUCAGGCACAAGAUGUUAUUAUAUUAUUAUAUGUUAUCAGAAAAUAGUUUUAUCAAAAAGGACAAACAAAAUUCAAAAUGAACCGUGAUGGAUAUCCCAAAAGGAAAAUUAUGGAAUUCAAACAAUAAGACAAGCCAUUCUUUACCUUUCUUCACUGAAACUUUUUGUCUUGAAAAUUAACCACACAAUAAGCAAGCAAAAUCAACUUGUUCUCAUUAACAAAAUUCAACGAAUAAUUGUAGAUCCAAAACAUGACAUGCAAGCUAGUAAUAACAAAUAAAAAAAAAGAUUAUUUAAAGUUUAAACAAAGAUUUUCUUUCCCACAAGAAAACUCAACAAUGGACAAUAAAACAUAAACAAAAAUAGCAAGACAGUGAAAGAAAAACCCCCCAAUUUGGCACAAAAAACAAGACCCCCAAUUUGCUUUCCCAUUAUCACACAAACCACACAUAGUGAGAGAAAAAGAGACAAAACGAAAGAAAGAGAGAUAGAUCAGUGCAUGAAUGGGUGAAAGAGAACUCAGGGAUUGAUAAAGGUGGCAUUGAC